rnacentral:rRNA from 1 species
AUUGAACGCUGGCGGCAGGCCUAACAAAUGAAAGUCGAGCGGAGCGGCGGAAGGGUGAGGAAUGCAUAGGAAUCUGCCUGGUAGUGGGGGAGAACGUCAGGAAACGGGCGCUAAUCGCGUAUACUAGCAGAUGAGACUAGGUCGGAUUAGCUAGUUGGUGGGGUAAAGGCCUACCAAGGCGACGAUCCGUAACUGGUCUGAGAGGAUGAUCAGUCACACUGGAACUGAGACACGGUCCAGACUCCUACGGGAGGCAGCAGUGGGGAAUAUUGGACAAUGGGCGAAAGCCUGAUCCAGCCAUGCCGCGUGUGUGAAGAAGGUCUUCGGAUUGUAAAGCACUUUAAGUUGGGAGGCGUUACCAACAGAAUAAGCACCGGCUAACUUCGUGCCAGCCGCCGCGGUAAUAC